UAGGGAAUCUUCCGCAAUGGGCGAAAGCCUGACGGAGCAACGCCGCGUGAGUGAUGAAGGUCUUCGGAUCGUAAAACUCUGUUAUUAGGGAAGAACAAAUGUGUAAGUAACUAUGCACGUCUUGACGGUACCUAAUCAGAAAGCCACGGCUAACUACGUGCCAGCAGCCGCGGUAAUACGUAGGUGGCAAGCGUUAUCCGGAUUAUUGGGCGUAAAGCGCGCGUAGGCGGUUUUUUAAGUCUGAUGUGAAAGCCCACGGCUCAACCGUGGAGGGUCAUUGGAAACUGGAAAACUUGAGUGCAGAAGAGGAAAGUGGAAUUCCAUGUGUAGCGGUGAAAUGCGCAGAGAUAUGGAGGAACACCAGUGGCGAAGGCGACUUUCUGGUCUGUAACUGACGCUGAUGUGCGAAAGCGUGGGGAUCAAACAGG
rnacentral:rRNA from 1 species